GGGGGUUUAGCCCAGUGGUAGAGCACGUGUCUAGCAUGCGAGAGGUCCUGGGUUUGAUCCCCAGUACCUCCU
rnacentral:tRNA from 1 species